AGCGAACGCUGGCGGCAGGCCUAACACAUGCAAGUCGAACGAACUCUUCGGAGUUAGUGGCGGACGGGUGAGUAACACGUGGGAACGUGCCUUUUGGUUCGGAAUAACUCAGGGAAACUUGUGCUAAUACCGAAUGUGCCCUUCGGGGGAAAGAUUUAUCGCCAUUAGAGCGGCCCGCGUCUGAUUAGCUAGUUGGUGAGGUAACGGCUCACCAAGGCGACGAUCAGUAGCUGGUCUGAGAGGAUGACCAGCCACACUGGGACUGAGACACGGCCCAGACGGGAAGGGGGGAGGGGAGGGGGGAGGAUGGCGUGGGGGAAGAACGAAUGAGGGAGCAAGGGCGAGCGAAUGAUGAAGUUGAUAGGAUUGUAAAAUUCUGGCAGGGAAGCAAAUAGUGCCGGUACGAGGAGAAGAAGGCCAGGCUAGCUCCGGGCCAGCAGCAGAGAUAAAAGAUGGAAGGCACACGUCUGGC
rnacentral:rRNA from 1 species